rnacentral:rRNA from 1 species
AUUGAACGCUGGCGGCAUGCCUUACACAUGCAAGUCGAACGGUAACAGAUCUUCGGAUGCUGACGAGUGGCGAACGGGUGAGUAAUACAUCGGAACGUGCCUAGUAGUGGGGGAUAACUACUCGAAAGAGUGGCUAAUACCGCAUGAGAUCUACGGAUGAAAGCAGGGGAUCGCAAGACCUUGUGCUACUAGAGCGGCCGAUGGCAGAUUAGGUAGUUGGUGGGAUAAAAGCUUACCAAGCCGACGAUCUGUAGCUGGUCUGAGAGGACGAUCAGCCACACUGGGACUGAGACACGGCCCAGACUCCUACGGGAGGCAGCAGUGGGGAAUUUUGGACAAUGGGUGAAAGCCUGAUCCAGCAAUGCCGCGUGCAGGAUGAAGGCCUUCGGGUUGUAAACUGCUUUUGUACGGAACGAAAAGCCCCGGGUUAAUACCCUGGGGUCAUGACGGUACCGUAAGAAUAAGCACCGGCUAACUACGUGCCAGCAGCCGCGGUAA